rnacentral:rRNA from 1 species
AGGAUCCGAGCGUUAUCCGGAUUUAUUGGGUUUAAAGGGAGCGUAGGCGGAAUUUUAAGUCAGUUGUGAAAGUUUGCGGCUCAACCGUAAAAUUGCAGUUGAUACUGGAGUUCUUGAGUGCGGUAAAGGCAGGCGGAAUUCGUGGUGUAGCGGUGAAAUGCUUAGAUAUCACGAAGAACUCCGAUUGCGAAGGCAGCUUGCUGGACCGUAACUGACGCUGAUGCUCGAAAGUGCGGGUAUCAAA